CAAGAGGGAAACAGCCCAGACCACCAGCUAAGGGCCCCAAGCGCUGGCUAAGUGGAAAACGUUGUGCGAGUGCAUAGACAACCAGGAUGUUGGCUUAGAGGCAGCCAUUCGUCUAAGGAGUGCGUAAUAGCUCACUGGUCAAGUGCUCGUGCGCGGAUAAUGUAACGGGGCUCAAGCCAGCCCCCGAAGCUGUGGGCUUCGUCUUUGACGGAGCGGUAGGAGAGCGUUCCUCGUGCAGUGAAGCGGAUAGCGGCAAGCUUCCGUGGAGCGCGGGGAAGUGAGAAUGCAGGCAUAAGUAACGAAAGAGGAGUGAGAAACUCCUCCACCGGAUGCCCAAGGUUUCCUGAGUAAAGUUAAUCUGCUCAGGGUUAGUCGGGACCUAAGCCGAGGCCGACAGGCGUAGGCGAUGGAUAACAGGUUGAUAUUCCUGUACUGCGUCUUCCGCGCUAUUACCGAUGGGGGGACGGGGAAGGGUAGGCGAACCGUGGCGCUGGUAGUCCACGGACAACCCGGUAGGAGGAACCCUAGGAAAAUCCGGGGUUCAUAUACUCCGAGAGGGGAUGUCGGUCAGCGUAAGCUGGCAAGUCGUCGAGCCCAUGCCUCCGAGAAAAGCCUCUAGGGAGUCGGAACGCACCCGUACCAAAACCGACACAGGUGGGCAGGUAGAGUAUACCAAGGCGCUUGAGAGAACCGCGUUGAAGGAACUCGGCAAAAUUGCUCUGUAACUUCGGAAUAAGGAGUGACUUUAUUUCAGAUUUUUUAUAAAGUUGUCACUAAAGAGGGAGAAGCGACUGUUUAAUAAAAACACAAAUCUCUGCGAAUUCGAAAGAAGAUGUAUAGGGAUUGACACCUGCCCGGUGCUGUAAGGUAACAUGGAUAUGCUGUGGCGUUGAAAUUAAGCCCCAGUAAACGGCGGCUGUAACUCUGACGGUCCAAAGGUAGCGAAAUUCCUUGUCGGGUAAGUUCCGACCUGCAUGAAUGGUGUAAUGAUUUCUCCGCUGUCUCCAACACAAUCCUGGUGAAUUUGAAAUACCCGUGAAGAUGCGGGUUAUUUACAGUUAGACGGGAAGACCCCGUGCACCUUUACUAUAAUCUUAAGUUGUGAAAUUGAAUAUUCUGUGUAGAAUAGGUGGGA
rnacentral:rRNA from 1 species